rnacentral:lncRNA from 1 species
CCAGGGCACAGAUCCAAGCACAGAUGGAGAGCAGCACAGAUUGCUGAGCCAUUCCAGUCUGAAGGAGGAUGGAUAAAGCUUGGGUAGAAAAUAUGCAAUUUUGCUGCUGUUAUAAAAGGUACAGGAAAAUAUGGAAAACUAGCAGAAAGUUAGUUCAAGGAAUACAAGAGAAGCCUGGAUUUUUGGCAUUGGAAACUGGG